rnacentral:SRP_RNA from 16 species
UACGCCAGGCUGGAAGGGAGCAGCCGCGGCGGCCCCGCCCGAGGCUCC